GAGGAAUAUUGGUCAAUGGGCGAGAGCCUGAACCAGCCAAGUAGCGUGCAGGAUGACGGCCCUAUGGGUUGUAAACUGCUUUUAUGCGGGGAUAACCGGCCUCACGUGUGAGGCCCUGCAGGUACCGCAUGAAUAAGGACCGGCUAAUUCCGUGCCAGCAGCCGCGGUAAUACGGAAGGUCCGGGCGUUAUCCGGAUUUAUUGGGUUUAAAGGGAGCGUAGGCCGUGGGUUAAGUGUGUUGUGAAAUCCGGUUGCUCAACAUCCGGUUUGCAGCGCAUACUGUCCCACUUGAGUGCGCACAACGCAGGCGGAAUUCGUCGUGUAGCGGUGAAAUGCUUAGAUAUGACGAGGAACUCCGAUUGCGAAGGCAGCUUGCGGGAGCGCAACUGACGCUUAAGCUCGAAGGUGCGGGUAUCAAACAGGAUUAGAUACCCUGGUAGUCCGCACGGUAAACGAUGGAUGCCCGCUGUUUGCCCUAUAUUGGGCAUGCGGCCAAGCGAAAGCAUUAAGCAUCCCACCUGGGGAGUACGCCGGCAACGGUG
rnacentral:rRNA from 1 species